CAGCCGCCGCGGUAAUACCGGCGGCCCGAGUGGCGGUCACUAUUAUUGGGCUUAAAGCGUCCGUAGCCGGGUUGGGAAGUCCUCCGGGAAAUCUGGCCGCUUAACGGUCAGAAUGCCGGAGGAUACUCCCAGCCUAGGGAGCGGGAGAGGCCGAGGGUAUUCCCGGAGUAGGGGUGAAAUCCUAUAAUCCCGGGAGGACCACCGGUGGCGAAGGCGCUCGGCUGGAACGCGUCCGACGGUGAGGGACGAAGGCCAGGGGAGCAAACCGGAUUAGAUACCCGGGUAGUCCUGGCUGUAAACGAUGCGGACUUUGUGUCGGACAAGCUAUGAGCUUGUCCGGUGCCGGAGGGAAACCGUUAAGUCCGCCGCCUGGGGAGUACGGCCGCAAGGCUGAAACUUAAAGGAAUUGGCGGG
rnacentral:rRNA from 1 species